ensembl:lncRNA
UUUUAAUGCUUUUGUACGCGGGGCGCUGUCCUCAGAUAAUCACAUGGUAUGCUUUCACCACAAAGCCUUUUUGAAAUCUGACAAAGCGUCUGGAUUAACAAGAAGAUGUAACCAAUGUAUAACACUUGUAUUUUCAUCACUGGAUGUUGUUGAGGCCGGGCGCUAGCGGUAUGCCUUUCCCAAGGAGGCUAGCAUUGGAUGUGCUCGUGGAAACAGAACAACUUAUUUACAAUUUACAGGUGAAGUGUAGUACUGCUGGUAGUAGUAGUACCACCAGUAGAGCUGGUAUGUGUCUCUGGACGCGGGCCUUACUUUUUUAACCAUUUAUCCAUUUUCAAGCAAACGGAAUGAGCAGCAGAUACGUUUGGCUACAUAUGGACUGUUAGUGGAAUUCCUGCGAGAGGAACGAUCUCAGUGAUUGGCUACACUCCAGUACGUAUGAGAGAUUUCCGCCUCCGGAACGAGCUCAGUGAUUGGCUACACUCCAGUACGUAUGAGAGAUUUCUGCCUCCGGAACGAGCUCAGUGAUUGGCUACACUCCAGAAGGAGAUACAGACAAGGCAGAACAUCUAAAAAGGAAGCUGAUAAAUCGGAGCAGGGUGACGGUUGGACUUCCUCCCCUCAGAGUGGAUUUCCCCUCCCUAACCUUGGGAAAGAGAUGCCACGUGCUCCACAGUUAGAGGUUCCACAUCUCUCUGACGAAGACCCUCUGCCAUGUUACCACCACCAACCUUCCACUGUGCCAGACUGCUGACUAGGUCAAGCCAACCAGGAGAGUAAUUGGGAGAGAAUAUCACUGCCCCAGCCAAUGCCAGACAGACAGACAGAUCAAGAUGACCUGGGAAAUCCAUUUGGGCAUUGGCUUACAUCACCUCUCCACACGGGAUCCAGUGAGGGGCCACAGGGAUGUGGAACAAUUGUUGCAGAUCAUGGAAUUCCCAUCGGUUGGAGCUUCCCGCCUGUUUCGUGGUGGAGCUAAAAGUAGCAUCUGCCAUCGUUCAGUCAGAGCAUCAAACUCUCCGAUUAGUUUCCUUCUCCUGACCCAUAAAGUUAGGGGAGCUGUGAAUGUUCUUCUCUCUGUACACUCACUGAGAUGUUUCACAUUGUGUAUAAACCCCAUGACAAACGGUAAGAUGGCGCUUGUCUGUUCUCUUUGAAGAGACUGUGUGGAGAUGGAUUGCACAGGCUCUGCUAUCUGACAGCUAGCUGGGCCUCUAAGUUCACAGUGUUACAGAAAAGCUGGAACAAGCGUGUGGACAUGGAGAAAACACACACUGAAAGACCAUCCCACAGAGAACUAGAAAGAUGUAGAAUGUACUGGAUGAAAUUUCCUAGUCUUUACAACUGACAUGGAGUCAGUCCAAGACACUCACCUUGAACUCUAAAUGGUACACUUCUGUUGUUCCUCUCAUUACCAUUCCUGUCAAGUCCUGUGUUCAUACUGGGAUUAGUACAUAGUUCUCACACCCAUAGGCGGAUGUCAUGAGCAAGACAUAGGUCAAAAGGUUGAAUGUUGUCUGUGUUGUAGGGGUACGGUGUUUAAAAAUGAUUUCUGUCAGAUGUCUGUCUACCUGCUGAAAUCCAAGUUCAGAAGACGUUGCUCUGCUCAGAAUGUAGCAGUUGAGGCAACACUCCCAAAGCAGUACAAAUGUAACAUUUGUUGUGGAGAAAAUAAAUCUGAGCUGUCCGAUACAUUUUAUGCAUAUUGUUGUUCAAAUUUCAGUGAUACAUUUCUGUAGACAAUGAGCAAAAAGCAUCCCUCAAUCGUACAGAGUGCACCUUUCACCAUACCAAGGGUACACACCAAUAACGACCCCAGGUGGCUAAGCAACACACAAACCAGUCCUUCAUUAACCAGUCACUAAGGUUGCUGAGGUGGCAAGUCGCUAAGGUCUGAACUCCAGCUCAAAGGUCAUGCCACAUGACAGCUGCAUUUCCUACAUGUUUUCACAGGUUCUCUAAUCACUGUAGAUUGACAACAGCACAGACGGUCCCAUUCAACCUCCCUGCCUGCCUCUCCCUCAGAUGCCUAGAUUAAACAAACACCCGUGGCCCGUCCUCACAGUCCUGAGUUGCAGCUCCC